AAAUAGACUACACCACUGAUAUCUAGACAGUCUGGGUACUGUGUGCUGUUUGAUGAAUCACUUAACCACGAGCUCCAAAGGAAACAGUUGGAUUUACACGUUAGAAUAUGGGACUGUGGAACUGUCCAGACCAGAUACCUCAGCUCUGAAUUCUUUGGGCAAGCUACCGCUAGAGAUGUGGUGGAUAAAAUGAGCAUAGUGCUAGGUGACAUUGGACUGAAAAACCUUGUACAGGUAUCUAUGGACGGUCCUAACGUUAACCGGAAGAUCUUUGACUUGCUACAAAACAAGCCGCUUGCUGACAUCAACCGAUCUCUCCUGAACAUUGGUUCAUGCGGACUACACAUAAUGCACAUGUAACAGAGUAAGAAAAUACUGCUCAUAAAUAAUAUAGUUGUGUGAGUUUUGCCAUUAUUGAGCACAGCAGUGUUCUGGUUAAUUGUUGUUGGAGACACCUUUGGACGCUGAGAGAACUGCAGGUCUGCCGCUUUGACCCUUCGUGGUCGCCGUACUCCCAGCCAGAAGAAAGUUAUCCUGGCUUGGGAAAUAAACUGCCGUCCAAGAACUUCUGUCUCUGUGCUGCUUGAGAUCCGUUACACACAAUGCAUUUCAUGGCGGUGCUAAGGCCACAGGAUGGGAAGUAGACCAUACUCUAAACAGCAUGUACUGGCUCUUCAAGGACAGCCCCUCCCAUCGAGAGGAUUUUACAAAAGUAACCGGCAGCAACACAUUCGCCUUGAAAUUCUGCCAGCACCGCUGGAUAGAAAAUGUGGAUGUAUGCGGCAGGGCUCUGUCCAUUUUGCCGGAUGUGCUGCGCUACGUGGAGGCGGCUAAGGGACGGGUCAUCAGUGAACCAAAGUGCAAGUCCUACGAAGAAGUCAAAAAGCAGGCUUCAAACAACAUCUUCCCCGUGCAUGUGGCAAUAUUUUCCAGCAUUGCCAAACAGGUCACUCCAUUUAUGACAGCCUAUCAGACAGAUGCAACCAUGCUCCCCUUCAUGAUUGGAGACAUGUACAAACUAAUCAAAGGGCUAAUGGAGAGGUUCAUGAAGGACACAGCGCUGAAAGAGGCUACUACCAUGCAGAAACUUCUCCAGAUCAGCAUCAACAAUCCUUCCCUCCACAAGGACGCUUCCAAAAUUGACAUUUGGAUUCCAGGCAGAAACAUUAAUCAGACAACUCAGAGGCUCUGACAAGAUCACAGAGAGGCAGGUUCUCGAUGUUAGAAUGGAGACCAAGACAUUUCUUGUCGAACUUCUGACUAAACUCCUGCAUAAGGCACCAGUAAAUCACCUGCUGGUGAGAAAUAUGCAGUGUCUAGAUCCCAGGAUGAUGGUUUCUAAGAAGAACCAAUGUGUUGAGAAGAUGAAAAGCAUCCUGCAUACUUUGGCUGCCGCUAACCAAGUGGAUGUUUCAAUUUGUGACAAAGUGCUGCAGGAUUUUAGAGAGUUCCUUGAUGUUGCUGCAGCAUCAUCAGGUUUUGUUGAUUUUGACCCUAUGUCUGACCGUGUUGACACACUACUCUAUGAGAACAUUGCUUCCAGGUCUGCAUGGAAAAGUCUUUGGCAUAUGAUCCAAAUUCUCUUGAUCAUGUCCCAUGGACAAGCCAGUGUAGAACGAGGGUUUUCUGUGAAUAAGCAAGUCAUGGUGGAGAAUAUGAAGGCAGAAUCAGUCAUUGCACAGCGUGUGAUUGCCGAUAGCAUUAGGGCAGCAGGUGGCCUUGAGAAAAUUAUCACCAAAGAGCUUCAAAUGUCUGCUUCAAGUGCCAGACAAAGUUAUCUCGCAUACCUUGAUGACCAGAGGAAGGAAAACAAAAGCAAAACAAAAGCCUCCAAGAAGAGGAGCCUAGCAAAUGAACUCAAAGAACUGAAGCAAAAAAAAAUUCGUCUUGAGUCUGACAUUCAACAGCUUGAGAAGUCAGCUGAUGAAUUGGCUAUGAAGGCUGAAGCAACACGCAGUAUAGGAUUUGUUGUUCAGUCAAACAGCCUGCAGCACUCUGCCAAAGAAAAGAGAGCAAGCUUAUUAGCUUUGGACAAGGACAUUGAGUGCAAAAAGAAAAAAAUGGAAGAGUAGUCCUGAUGAUUAUUUUGAUUGUUACAAUUGUUAUGGAAUUUAUUUGAUUGCUGAGGGGAUAUGUUGUGAACAAAUGGACAAGUAGUCCACGUAGGUUAACGUUUCAUAUUAUUUCUCACCUUCACAGAGUACAAACGGAACAGAGGGAUGUUUCACUGCAGUGUUUUUUGCAUUAUGUUUUAAUGUAAUGUGUUACAUGCAUAGGUAUCGUGAGUACAACCCUUAGCUUUGGGCUACAGUCUAGGUGUUGGCUCUGGGCAAGGGCGUAACCGUGGUAUAAAUAUUGGGGGGGUCCAAAUUUGAGCCCUUCCCAAAAUGUUUUUAAGUGCAUUUCGUGCAAUUUUCAUAUGGGCCUAUUGAUAAAGAUGUGCUUAUCUAGAACAUUGUUUUGAUGAAUACAAUUACCAAUGAACAUGUUAACGUUUAUAUCUUGUUUUUUUUUUAUUGUGUAUCAGGCAAAACACAAAACAGAAUGUGCAACUGCAAAACAUGUAACGCAAUACAACAUAUGUGAAACAUUGCAUGAAAAUCUGUCACACCAGAGCUAGUCUCGCGCACACACACAUUUCAAACAAAUGCAGAAAUGCCAAAUUGCUACAAAAAAAUGGCUACCAAAGCAAUAGAAAGGAGCAUUACCCUGGUUAAUAGGUCAAAACAACAUAGAACUUUGUAGAAAAUAUAUUGACUUUAUCUAAAUAAAUGGCCCAAAAAUAUGGAGGCGUUCAUCGUGUAACUCAACAAGUCUCUGACAGAUCUGUCUCCUAUCCAGUGCAUCCAAUUUCUCUUGAUGUACACGGCAAAUGGCAAGAUCGUUUAACCGGGUCUGCGUCAUUGAUGUUCUCAGCCAUGUUUUUAGUCUCACGUCUUACCUGAUCAUCUUCAGAGCAGGUGUCUGUCUGUCCUGUCCCUCUAUCAUGCAUGUAACGGUCACUCUCUCUGUCUCACUGCUCUUCCUGCAUUACGUCCACAUAACAUCAAUGCACUUCAAGAAUAAUGACUGACCAAAAUGAUAAUUUUAUUUACAUUUAAUUAAAGGAUAGUAUGCUCUUAUUACUAGCCUACUGAUGAUAUGCAGCCUAUGAUGAGGUUUAAAAAUAAUGUAAAGUUGUUUUAAGGACUCGUAAUACAAUGCUCUUUACCAGUUCA